rnacentral:snRNA from 1 species
AUCGCUUCUCAGCCUUUUGGCUAAGAUCAAGUGUAGUAUCUGUUCUUAUCAGUUUAAUACACACUGUAAUUAUUUAACCUUUUAGCAUGAUUUUCACCAGAAUUCUA